GAGCUGCUGCCCUGCCUGCAGCCUGCCACGGGAGUAGGAGCAUCCCAGCCUCUCCCUCUGUCCCCUCCAGCCAGAGAAGUUGGGAAUAAUUCCCGCGGCCAAUAAAACAAGUGGCAGAGAUGGACAGUGUUACUUAAAUAAACAAGGGUCUCUUUAAAAUUCUCAUCCACUUCAGAUGUCUAAAGUAAGAUUGUGAUGAUUUUGUCACGGUUUGGUAAAUUUACCCCUUUAAGAGGCUUUCAUAAAUCCCAGAACACACCUUCAGCCAGAUUUGAAUAUAGAUUUAGGUUUUAAAACCCAGAAGCUGGGAACACCGCUUUAUCAAAGAGAAUUUCCCUUUAGCUUAGCAAUGUGUCGGAAUGGCUCUUGCAAAGAUUGGAUCUGAGAGGGGGAAAAAGGGGGAACCUUCUUUCCUGGAGCAAUCCUGCACACACUUUGCAGCUGCCUCUGCCUUCAACCUUCUGCAGCUCGGGGAAAAGUUACAAAAAAAAAUUUGAUAACAAUUGUUGCUGCUGUAGGAUCUCGAUUUUUAAAAAUUAUUAUUUUUUACUAAUUUUUUUUAAACUUUCCCAUCUCUUCUGGUCCGUUUGGAAAGCGUUGCAGAGCAGGUACAGUCCCAGAGAUCCAGACUAUCUGGGGCUAACGGGGAGUGAGUGGAGAUGUGUGAUUUUCUGCCCUCUAAGAACUUUAUGCUCAGAGAACCAAAAUCUGCUUCUGGGAUGAAAAGAAACUGUAACUUCUGCUUCUCAGGGCUGUGGGAGUCUUGUCCCUCCUGGAACUUCUGGACUGGUGGGCACAGCUGCAUUUGUGGGAAGAGAAGCUAUAUGGAGAACCAGGGGCAAGGCUGAAGGCAGGAUUCAAGUCUUCACUCCACAUGUGCUGUACCAGCAUCGAGGAGAUGUCAUGGUGGGAGCUCAUCCCAAUGCUGGAAGAGACUCUGUGGGCCUCCCAGACCAUCUUCAUUCAUGUUGUGGAUCCAAAUCAUCACUUACCCAGAGAUCAGCUUGUGGUGCUGUCCUGCUUGAAAGUGGAAGGGUCCAGAAGUGCUCUGGUCCAGCUACGGGGUGGUGAUGAACAAGAUGAGAGCUUGGACACGUCUGCUCCAGCAUGGAGCAGGGAAUUACUGCUCUUCCCCACUGACAUGAAGUCAAGCAGAGAAAGAACUGGGAGCCAACAGCCACAGGACCAGGACUUUCACCUCGGAUGAAUCAUCAGGCUCAAGUCAAAAGCUCACCAGGUGAAAGAGUUGUAAAAGUGGAGGUUCCCACAGACCAAAAAGCUCUGUUGUGGAGUAGGAUUGGGUCUCAACAGAUUUUAUACAGCAUGCCUCAAAAAAAAAAAAGGCCCUCCUCCAAAGCAGUCUUUGAACCUGCCCCCCGUUAUAAGCACAGCUUGCAGAAAGGAAAGAGAAAAUGGCAAAAUCUCAUGCCUGGAGCAUUUGGACCAAGUGCAAAGCCCUAAGAAAGGCAGCCAUCCUGAGAGCUUGAGAGAAUGUUUAAGCUCUGGAUGUGGGCAUCUGAUUGAAAGAAUGUUACCACAACUUCAUGAAUUGCCUGUUCUUCAGCUGAGUCCCAGAAAUUCACCUCAUAACCGAGGCUGGGUGUGUGCUUCAGUCCUCAGAGCUACAACUACCUAAAAAGCCAGUCCUGACUUCACAUCAUCAUGCUCCUAGGACAUCCCAGCCAAAGGUACACUGCUUGCAGAUCAGACAUCAGCAAGCUGGAUGAGCCAACAAGCCGUGCAAAAGAAAACCCUGUGAAUGUAAAGAGACUGAGUGGAGUGAUAAAAACCCAUCUCUGCAAGAUCUGUGUGAGGAGGACUUGGUCACAAGAGUGAUGCUGCUCCUGUGAAGAAACAUUUGCAGGCUCCAACCCCCAAUAACACAUGUGAAGCAGCUGAGCAGAAAAAAAUAUCCUGCAGGCUUCAGGGAGACACACCCACAGGCAGACCCGGCACUGAGGAUGGAUAUCCAGCCCCAGCCCCAGCCCUGACCAAAUGCCCCAAGGUGACUGCUGGAAUGCUGAAAUGUGCUUUUUUUAGCUGCUACCAAGGAGCCCAGCCCAGGUAUGGGCAAAUUAGGUCACCUGCAAAUGAAGUGCAUUUUUAAUGUGAUUGCAAAAUUACAGGAGGUAGAUUGCAAACAUCCCAAUAUUUGCUGUUCCUCUUCUUAAUGUAGUCUGAUUUUUAUUUACUCUUUCUCCUGCAUCAGUCAGGUUUUAUUGGAAGGAGAAGGAAGGAGAACAUGUGAGUUGAGUAAGAUGAACUACUGCCUCAUAGUGAACCUUAAUCAGUCUCUAAACCACCCUUGGAUUCCUCCAGCCAUUCUGGGUUAUCCCCUCCUUAUUAAUAAAAAGUGGCCAUCAGGAGUAAUUUUUUUCAGCAUGACGAACACUGAUAUUUCUAUUUUACACUGUAAAAAAAACCAACAGCUUUCAAGUCACCCCUGUUCAUAAUUUCACUCUCUGUUCAGCGUCAAUGUGAAGAAUAUCACAAGUCACAGAGCCUGACACAGUUCCUUUGCCUGGUGCUCCUCUCCGCAGGCAUCCCUCACCAAAAGUCCUCUCUGAAAUCAAGGAGAUCCACAUGGACAACAGAUGACCACCCAUAUGUGUGACCCAGCUUUAAAAUAACCAGAAUAAUUUUCCUAAAUGGCUCAGGUAAUUUCUCCUCAAAUAUUUCAUGGCUGUGCAAUGUCUUUUCUUAGCCCCAUGAUGUAUGAAUUACCCAGAUCACUCUCCAUGUUCGGUCUCCUGAACCUCACAUCAGGUUUGCCACAACCAUGUCCCAGUGUGAGCUCUGGGUGCCUGAAAACAUUGGUGCUGCUGCAAUCGGGACCUCCUCCUAAACCUAAACCUCACCCCUGUUACCUGGCCACAGAAUAUUCUGUCACAGAAUCAUAGAAGCAUUGGAUGGAUCGGGUUAGAAGGGACCUUAAAGAUCACCUCGUUCCAACCCCCAGCUAAAAUCACACCCCACCAACAGUGGGGACCGCACUAGGCGAAGAGAGAAACACUUUUCAGCAUCUGCGUUCACCAUUUUAAUUGACUUCUUUCAUUUGCUCCCCUCCUUUGCCCUCCAAUAGUGAGCAUUCUCGCCGCUGUGGUAACCCCCAGGAAAAAAAACAAAAACAAACCAAACAAAACCAAAACCAACAAACAACAGUUGUGCUAAAUGAGAUUUUUAUGUGUGGGUGUUUAAGUAUCCGCGUGAAGCAAAUUUCUACCCUCUUCUCAUCAAAAAGGGAACGAGACCGUGUGAGUGAUGUGACCAAUUACCGCCGAGCACCCCAGAGCAGCUUCUGAAUAUUCACGUCCAAUUGCUCGUUUGGUGGAACAAUUGGUUUGAACAGUUUGAAAAGGCAAUGAUGUCAAAUGUGCGGCGUGAUUAAACGCAGCGAAAUUACCAGCCGUUCAGCUGAAAAAGAAGCUCAGUUUCCUUCCCAGGGUAAUUCUCCUCUCGAAUUUUGCUCUGAUGGGAGCAGCAAACACCCGGAUCUGUCAGGGGGAGAGGUGCAGCUGAGUUUUGGAGGCAGCAUGGACCGGGAUGCACAUGGGAGCUUUGCUAAGGGUGCACCAAGCCAAAAGCUUCCUCUUCACCUUCCUCUUCCUGCAGAACCACACCUCCACCCCAGCGAGAGCAGGGCAGAGGUGUAUUUUGCAAGCACACCCCGGUGCAAACGUGAUUUGAAUCAAAGAUUUUCAGGGCCAAGUUAUCCGUGAGUUGAAUUGUCCCGAGAACCAGCAAAGGCUACGUGUGUUCCAUCAAUACCAGCCCCAUUUGGGAGCUUCCUGCACAGGCAAGGAACACCCUAAACCCACAGUCCAGCUGUUUGAUUCAUGCCUGUUUCUGUCAUCACUGAAAAUGGCCUGUAGUUAUAAAAAAUAGACCAUUAAUUCUGCCAUCCUGUUUUAAAAAUGCCUCUACCACAUAUCACACUUCAGUUCUGUGACUGACUCGUACAGAUCCAAGCAUUGGGAGACAGAGCAUUUUUUGUUGCAGUACACAGAGCAGUGUGUGCUUCCCAGAUGGCAGAAGGGAGCUGGGAGCAUCCGUGAGGAGGAAAGAAGUAAUGCAUCCUGCAGGAUCACAUCUUUUGCUGAGCCCUCGUCAGGGAGAGGGCCACAGGAGCACUGCCCACCUCCAGCUGCUCAGGUCUGGGCCCGCCUCUGGAAUCAAUUUCUCUCCUCCUGGCCUCCCUUUGGGGAAGGUGAUUGUUCACAUUAUUGUAAAAAAAAAACCACCAUUUUUUUUCUUAACAAACAACUUCCAGACAUUUUGUGAAUAUGCAAAAGGCUUCUUGAUGUAGAAGGCUAAAAUGAUGAAAUAACCUUUAUAAAAUCCUCCCUGAAACUAGGGAACUUUUUCUUUUCCAUCCGUUCUUCCUGUUUCCUACCCAGAGAUCCGAACUAAUUUUCCUUAUCCAUAGGCUCCCCCCAUGCCCUCAAAAAAAAAAAAAAAAAAAAAAAAAAAAAAAAAAAAAGAGAGAGAGAGAGAGAGAAGGGGGGAGACUGUAUUCACUAAUUAUACAUCCUGAAAAGAAUUUGGUUCAGUGUAAGAUGAUCCUAGUGAUAUGCUAAUCCCUUUUUCUGCUUGGUGCAGCCUGAAGCCUGUGUCUAACAUUUUUUUCAACUGUAUGACAAUAAAAGUUGUGGCAACAAAAGGAAUAAAUGGGCAGCUAAAGAAGGUAUAGCCGAAACACAUGGCAGACCAGUUCUCUCCUCUCCUUCUGGCUGCUCUUUUGUAGGCUCUGGUUUGGUAUCCUCAAGUCAAUAGCCGAAAGCCAGCCACCUUAGCAACUUAGUAUGACACCCAAGCCCUCUCUCUUUACAUUCAUGAAUAGUCAGCAAGCAGCAGACAAAAUAGAACUAAUCUUUUUUGACAGAAUUGUUCAAUUUUAGAGGAAAGGCUUUUGAGGCACCUUCCAUACAUUUGCAGAAUAUGAGACAACAAUGGCCACCACCACAUUUUGACAAAAGGACGACCAGGGGUGUGAGCGUGCACACGCACCACGGCCGUCAACAGAAAAUAUUGCAGCCAAGUUCAAGCCACCGCAGGAUGUGCCCAUUGUUAGGGGGAAGGCUGGCAGGCAAGAAAAUAAGUAAGUAAAUAAAUAAAUAAAUAUUUAAAAAACCCCCAAAACUCCAUUGUUUUGUUGCCGACUAUUAAACAUACACAUCCCGAUAAUGUGUGAUUAGGGUUAUUUGUCUUGAUUAACCCAAGUUAAGAGAGCUGAUUAAUAUCCACUCUCUAAUUUCCUGUCAUAGGCUGAUAACUUCAUCCUUUUUUUUCUUUUUUUUUUUUCUUUUGGACCAAUGAAUCUUAUUGCCAAAUGCAUUCAAUCCCGCAGGUUCUCGCCUGCAUUUAAAAGCUGGUUUUGCCAUUUCGAAAUCCUGUAACGCAGCAGCCACUCACAAGUCCAGGGUGUGUAGGGAAGGGCAUUCCCGCUUUUCCCUUCUCUCCUCUCCAUUUAAUACAAGCCUAUCGCUAUCUCCAAAGACAGAAAGCAGGGAAGAGGUAAUAAUAAUAAUAAUAAUAAUAAUAAUAAUAAUAGUAAUGAUAAUAAUAACAAUAAUAAUAAAUGCACCCAGUCUGUGGGCAAAACCAGAAGUUAGCAACAUGGUCCAUGCAGCUGCAACACUGCAUUUAAAAUUCAGUUUACUCCUAGGAAGAGGGCUAAUCCUGCCCCUGUAAUUCCCUACAGCCAAAAUGUACCCCCCUCCCUGAGUGACAGUGCAAUGCAAAGACACUCGCACGCUUAUCUUCCCCAACCAGAUGGCCGACUUGGAUCAAUGCACACACGCCACGAUCAAUGGGAGCGAUAAAGAAUUAGGAAAACAGUGGUACAUGCUCCCAGAAAGCUUGUACACUGCAUAAUUAUUUUAUGAUUCUACACAUGGCUACAUGUGAUACUGGAGUCAAGAAGGAAAAGGAUAAUUAGAGAGCCAGAAAGCACCCGUACUGCACUACACACUUUGUCAGUCAGCAGUUCCCACUCGGCUCAACUCACCGCCGUUAUCUCCUCUCCUGCCCCCUUGCAAACGAAUUUAGGGAAUAUGUAAAAUAUGAGGGGGAGGCGGCUUCUGGGUUACCGGGACGGGAUACGGGAGAUUAUCGUGUCCUGUGAUACUACAGCAAAAGUUUUUUGUGCGCGGGGUGGGGCAGGACUGUGCGAGCACCGCCUGGGGAGCGGAGCCGGGGGUGGCAUCGUGGGGCACCCCGAACCCUUCCAGGGCUUUGUUGGGAGAGGUACACAUCCACAUCCAGACACUAAAACACAGCCGCAUGGGUUACUCUGUGGGUUUGGGGGUUUUUUCCCCCCUCCUUUCCUCCCAGCAGCGAUUUUGUGAUUGGCUCCUUGUAUCCAGCCUGCUUUGCCACCACACUGAAGGGAAGAGAAGGGGAGGGGGCAGGAAAGAGCUGCCCUCCUCCCCCCGCCCCCGCACUGACCGAACGACGCAGAAUAACCAUCAAAGCGCUGGAUGGUCACGACUGCGAAUCUGGAUGGCAAAGAGCACAUGACCGAGAUGAGGGAGCAGAACAAUGCCAGGCGGAACGCUGCCCUCGGUGGCAAGGCGGGCAGUGAGGAGGAAUCACAGCGCCAAGCGCUUCGCAGAAACACCUCGUCACCGCCUGACGCCACCGAGCCGCCAACACGUCCUCGCCCUGCCUGCACCAGUGCAACACCACCCUCUAAUUGCUGCUGGGAGCGCAGAGGGGACAAGGAGGUGCGAGGCACCCUUCUCCCCGCGAGUGCCACCCGGACAGGAGCUUCCUGCUGGCCAUCAAGCUGGUGGUGGGACCUGGGCUCGUGGCAUGGUGAGAGAGGGGUAGGAAAGUCUCAAAAUGGGUUGUGUAGGCUUCACUCACCAAUCAGCUGAGGAGCUGGGGGUGUGAUGGAGAGCUGGAGCUCUGGGUGGAAUGGGGCAGUCACCACUGUCUCUUCUGCAGCUGCAGAGGUGUUGCCUUUGAAGACCAUGGUCCAGAGAUACCUGCCCAGGUCCUUCUGCAGGGAUGUGGCAGAGAGGCUCACCCCACAUCCCCUCAUCCCUGUCCCAGCACAAACCAGGGCCAAACAGCACUUUUGAAUGAAUAAAUGAACAGACACUGCAGUGGUGACAUGUUUGGAAAUGUCCAUUUUAAACAUGAGGUUUUAAAUUUGGGGUCUCUCCUGCUGACAUUUGACUUGAGUCAAGACCAAAGCCCAGAGCCUUUGUCCUGACAUGUGGAGCAAAACAUCUCUGACGUGCACUCAAAGUCACCCCAAAAUCAUCUGCACUUCAUUUGUCUCUUACCCUCAACACAACUCACCAGACAGGCAAAGGCCCAUCAAACUGCAGCAGGUUCAUGAGUAGAAACCACCACUAUGGACCUGUCUGCGAGGCCAGAGAGGUGAUCACAAACACCCCACAUGCAACAAGUCACUCACUGAGUUGGUGACUGCAGCUCCAGCCGUGAACACACAUCUCUGCUGGUGGCAUCUGUGAGGAGGGGGAGCUGAUGCUUAGAGAUGCCUAAUCAAGGUGCACUUGCUCAAGGGACCACUUUGAUUGGGAUUUAUAAAUCCUGGAGGAUUUGUAGUCCUGGCCAGCUGUGCAGGGGAUUCCACCUGCUAUAACCAGCCUGCUCUGAUGGGUGUGUGACCUUUGCUGGUGUAGAUGUCACUGUCACAGCAGCAUUGUUCCACCUGAGCAGGUGUGCAUUGACCAAAGUCUUGGAGAGACAGAUCUCUCAAAGAGGUGGACAGUGUGGAAGUCAAGUGCCUGUUUCAGCUUCUUAAUCAAAAUGUGUCUAUGAAAAACAAAAUCCAACUUUUUGGACAGAUACAAAAUUUUUGUUCGUGCUUCUGUUUCUUUUGAUACUUUACAGCUAUGUAUGGAAAACCCCUACAGUAUUUCCUUCCUUUUAAAAUUGCCAUUCUUGGGUAAAAGUUUUAUUAAAGAUGUAUCUCAAAUGGAAUAUUUAUCCUAGAAACAAAAAACCCCUCAGUUUUAGUUCUCAAAGUUCUUCCCCUUUUUUUAUGGUCAAAUAAAGACAGGCGCAUCAGAUAGAAAAGGGAAUUAUUUCCAAAAUUUCUCAUGAGAAAUAA